GGCAUUAAGACCAUCCAGAAGAAGAACAUUAACUCAACCUUGUGCUCUCCCUAAAGUUCGUAGAGAAGCAUACUGGGAAAAAAGCCAAUCCUGCUUUCCCCAUCUCAUGGCUCAUCUUACAUCAAGACAGGUUUUUAAGCAGAUUUUUCAUUCAGCAUCCUGUUCUGUUUGGGAAAGCAAAAUACAACAUAGGUAAAGCCAUAGCAGAAACAAUGUUAAAUGACAGGUGGCAAUAGGAGCAAGGUUGUAUAAUUUGAAAAACUGUUCCACUCAAUCAAAUGUUGCAUUUGGAAACAACAGAUAGGAUGGCAGGUACUUGCUUAUCACCAUUUAUAGUGGAAGUACAACUGCAGCUCCAGUUCUGUUUGAGAUGGUGCAGCACACAGUGGGAAACAGAAAAACAAUAGUCAGAGAUGCCGCUUAAAGCCACAAGAGAAAUCAUGGAUUGGUUUAACAAAGACACAAAAAAGCUCUUGAUAUUCAUGAGAUUCAGUAAGUGCUGAUAAAAAAAAGUCUUCUGAUGCUUAACCCUUCACAACUUAGAGUUGUUUUUAUUCUCACUGUAGUAUAUGUGCACUUUUUGUGUGAAACAGAGUAAGCGGGAACAUUCACUUGGGAAAAAGAUGGGAAUUAUAUACAGAAGAUAUCAGAAAGUACCAUUUCCCCUGUACAGUAUAGCACAAUGAAUUCCCUCAUAACAGCUUCUGGAAUGAGGAAAUACCUAAGAUAUGUAUAAAAUACUUGGAUGUAUUUUAUUAGCUUUGUUUAGUAUUUGUCACGCUAGUAAAGCUGCAACAGCAGAAUUCCUGUGCUCAGACAUCUCCAAGUUCAUCCUGCUCUUUC